rnacentral:rRNA from 1 species
CCCUUAGAUGUUCUGGGCGGCCCGCGCACUACAUUGGCACUAGCAAAGAGAUCCUAGAUUGAAUUCUUUGGGGUAUUCUUCUAAAUGGUGUCGUGACUGGGAUAAAUCCUUGUAAUUAUUGGGUUUGAACGAGGAAUUCCUUGUAAUCGCGGUUUAUCAGCUCGCGUUGAAUGCGUCCCUGCCCUUUGUACACACCGCCCGUCGCUCCUACCGAUGGAUCGUCCGGUGAAGCUCACGGAGUGACUGUUCACGCAACGGUUUACGAAGUGAAAUGGACCUCACGAUUUAGAGGAAGGAGAAGUCGUAACA